AUUGAACGCUGGCGGCAGGCCUAACACAUGCAAGUCGAGCGGAUGAGAGGAGCUUGCUUCGCUGACGAGUGGCGAACGGGUGAGUAACGCGUCGGAACGUGCCGAGUAGUGGGGGAUAACGCAUCGAAAGGUGUGCUAAUACCGCAUACGAACUGAGGUUGAAAGUGGGGGACCUUCGGGCCUCACGCUAUUCGAGCGGCCGACGUCUGAUUAGCUAGUUGGUGAGGUAAAGGCUCACCAAGGCGACGAUCAGUAGCGGGUCUGAGAGGAUGGUCCGCCACACUGGGACUGAGACACGGCCCAGACUCCUACGGGAGGCAGCAGUGGGGAAUUUUGGACAAUGGGCGCAAGCCUGAUCCAGCCAUGCCGCGUGUCUGAAGAAGGCCUUCGGGUUGUAAAGGACUUUUGUCCGGGAGCAAAUGCUGGUGGCUAACAUCCACCGGAGCUGAGAGUACCGGAAGAAUAAGCACCGGCUAACUACGUGCCAGCCGCCGCCGUAAGAC
rnacentral:rRNA from 1 species